rnacentral:rRNA from 1 species
UACAUGGGGGUGCAAACGUUGCUCGGAAUUAUUGGGCGUAAAGCGCACGUAGGCGGUUCGUUAAGUCGGAUGUGAAAGCCCUCGGCUCAACUGAGGAAGUGCACCCGAAACUGGCGAGCUUGAGUACGAAAGAGGAUCGCGGAAUUCCCGGUGUAGAGGUGAAAUUCGUAGAUAUCGGGAGGAACGACCGGUGGCGAAGGCGGCGAUCUGGGUCGAUACUGACGCUGAGGUGCGAAAGCGUGGGGAGCAAACAGG